rnacentral:lncRNA from 1 species
GCAGUUCUUGUGGCCCGGCUCCUGUUAUUAAAUUCCAACAUGUUUGAUAUGUUUUUGGCAGGUCCUGGACCCGUUUUACGGGGGGUAAAUAUCCAUAAUUUAGGGGAGGUUCUGUCAAAUUUUCGGCAGAAUCCUCGAGUCCAAUUUAAUUCUAGGCAGUCGACCUUAGGGUCUAAGUCUAGGAAAAAUUUUCGAAUGUCUAUUAAUUGUAUGUCUUUUGUUAUUAGAUAAUUCAGCCUUCCCGCCAGCUCCACCCGAGGCGUAGGAGCGGACUGUGGAACGCAUCAAAUCUGUGAGUUAAAGUCAUUUAAUCUUUGUGCU